GAUGAAGAAUGCAGCGAAAUGCGAUACUUGGUGUGAAUUGCAGAAUCCCGCGAAUCAUCGAGUUUUUGAACGCAAGUUGCGCCCGAAGCCAUUCGGCCGAGGGCACGUCUGCCUGGGUGUCACGCAUCGUUGCCCCCCCCAAACUUCGGUUCGGGCGGGGCAGAAGUUGGCCUCCCGUGCGUGCCUGCGCGUGCGGUUAGCCCAAAAGCGAGUCCUCGGCGACGAGCGCCACGAAAAUCGGUGGUUUUUUUGCCCUCGUUCCUCGUCGUGCGUGCCCCGUCGCCCGAACGCGCUCUUGCGACCUUCACGCGUCGCCUCGGUGGCGCUCCCAACGCGACCCCAGGUCAGGCGGGACUACCCGCUGAGUUUAAGCAUAUCAAUAAGCGGAGGA
rnacentral:misc_RNA from 1 species